rnacentral:lncRNA from 1 species
AGAGAGGAAAAUAAAAUUAAAAAUUAAAAAUAAAAUUUUAAAAAUGAAAAAAAAAAUGAGAGAGAGAGAGAGAGAGAAGUGAGGGGGCGCCAGAAGUGGCGCUGAUGAUUGCCAAAGUGGAAGAUGGUGUGGUGAGGGGAAAUGAAAAAAGAGAAAGGAAGAGAAAAAAAAUGAAGAAAAGAAGAAAAGAAAAGGAAAUAAGGAAGAAUAGAGGAG